AUUGAACGCUGGCGGCAGGCUUAACACAUGCAAGUCGAGCGGAGAUGAGGUGCUUGCACCUUAUCUUAGCGGCGGACGGGUGAGUAAUGCUUAGGAAUCUGCCUAUUAGUGGGGGACAACAUUCCGAAAGGAAUGCUAAUCCCGCAUACGUCCUACGGGAGAAAGCAGGGGAUCUUCGGACCUUGCGCUAAUAGAUGAGCCUCAGUCGGAUUAGCUAGUGGGCGGGGUAAAGGGCUACCAAGGCGACGAUCUGUAGCGGGUCUGAGAGGAUGAUCGGCCACACUGGGACUGAGACAGGGCCCAGACUCCUACGGGAGGCAGCAGUGGGGAAUAUUGGACAAUGGGGGGAACCCUGAUCCAGCCAUGCCGCGUGUGUGAAGAAGGCCUUAUGGUUGUAAAGCACUUUAAGCGAGGAGGAGGCUACUGAGACUAAUACUCUUGGAUAGUGGACGUUACUCGCAGAAUAAGCACCGGCUAACUCUGUGCCAGCCGCCGCGGUAAAAC
rnacentral:rRNA from 1 species